CAGGAGCUGACCCCAUCACAAGGUUGCUCAGGUUUUGAACCUGGACUGCUGGCUUGCCAUCCAACAAGCCUAGCAUCUUAGCUAUUGAGUCCUCAUGCCACCACUAACAGAAUAAGGGUUAACAGGAUAAAAACUGUCCAUCCUGCGUGAAACCCAAGAAACUAGGAACAAUCUCUUGUGAGACAUUAGCUAUGCUCCCAUUCCUUCUGUGAACGUGACUGCCUCUUAUCUGACCAAUGAUGGAAAUUAAAAUCUAAGAAUGGA